rnacentral:rRNA from 1 species
CACGUAGGAGGCGAGCGUUGUCCGGAAUCAUUGGGCGUAAAGAGCGCGCAGGCGGCCCGGCAAGUCGGGUGUGAAAUCCCGGGGCUCAACCCCGGGACUGCAUUCGAUACUGCCGGGCUAGAGGUAGGUAGGGGAGAUCGGAAUUCCUGGUGUAGCGGUGGAAAUGACGCAGAUAUCAGGAGGGAACACCGGUGGCGAAGGCGGAUCUCUGGGCCUUACCUGACGCUCAGGCGCGAAAGCUAGGGGAGCGAACGGG